UGCCCCCGGCCCGGCCCCGCCCCGAGCGGCGGCGGCGGCGGCGGCUCCGUGACCCCGGUGCCGUCCGGUGCGGCGGUGCCGGCAUGGCCGUGCCCUGGGCUCUGCCCGCGCCCCUCAGCCCGGCGCAGCUGAAGCGCCUGGAGCAGCACCGCUACAGCGCGGCCGGGCGCUCGCUGCUGGAGCCGUGGCUGCAGCCGUACUGGGGCUGGCUGGUGGAGCAGGUCCCGCUGGGGCUGGCGCCCAACGCCAUCACCAUGGGCGGCCUCCUGCUGAAUUGCCUGACGGCGCUGCCGCUCAUCGCCUGCUGCCCCAGCGCCGCCGAGCAGGCACCUUCUUGGGCAUACAUCCUGGGUGCAUUAGGACUUUUUAUCUACCAGUCUCUGGAUGCCAUUGAUGGGAAGCAAGCCAGAAGAACAAACACUAGUUCUCCUUUAGGAGAACUCUUUGAUCAUGGUUGCGACUCUAUUUCCACAGUUUUUGUUGUCCUUGGAUCCUGCAUAGCAAUCCGACUAGGAACAAAUCCUGACUGGUUGUUUUUCUGUUGUUUUGUGGGACUGUUCAUGUUCUAUUCUGCUCACUGGCAGACAUAUGUAUCAGGCAUACUAAGGUUUGGAAAAAUUGAUGUAACUGAAGUUCAGAUAGCCAUAACAAUGCUGCUCUUGAUAUCUGCAUAUGCAGGAACAGCAAUAUGGGACUAUAAGGUCCCUUUGGUGGGCUUAGAACUGAAGUUCUUUGCAGUUAUUGGCAUCCUGUGUGGAACAGCACUUUCUUUUUUCAAUUACUUCCGUGUCAUCUUUGGUGGAGGGGUUGGAAAGAAUGGAUCCACAAUAGCAGGAACAAGUGUUCUUUCGCCAGGCCUGCACAUUGGACUACUUAUCACACUGGCCAUUAUGAUUUAUAAAAAGUCUACAACUCAGCUGUUUGAAAAACAUGCUUGCCUGUAUGUCUUAACAUUUGGGUUUGUGAAUGCCAAAAUCUCCCAGAAGUUAGUGGUGGCUCACAUGACAAAAAGUGAAAUCUCUCUUCAGGACUCUGCGUUUAUUGGGCCAGGACUUCUGUUUCUGGACCAGUACUUCAACAGUUUCAUUGAUGAAUAUAUUGUUCUGUGGAUAGCAUUGUUCAUAUCCUUGUUUGAUAUGCUGAGAUAUGCCACUGGUGUGUGCCUACAGAUUGCUGCUCAUCUUCAUAUACAUGUCUUCAGAAUUUCAUCUCAUCAAGCUCCUGAACAGGUUCAAAACCAUAAUGACUGAUUAAAUAGGUCAAGGACAAGAGAAGAAGCAUUUAGGGGAAUGUUGAAUGAAGCAGCCCCUCUGUUUUUGGGAAGACAGAUUAAGCUUUUGAAGAAAACAGUUUUAUGAGAAAGUUCACCGUAUCCCAGACAUUACCAGAUAUUAGAAUUAGUAGAUAACAAAGUUCUGCAGAUGCUAUUGUGAUCAAUACUUUUGAACCAGGAUGUAUUUCAGACCAUCAGUACCACAUUUGAAAAUGUUGCCCUUUCCUGUUAGGUACAACUUGUUUCUCCACUGAGCCAUCAGAAUAACAUGGACUGAAGAGACUUGCGAACAGUUGCCAUCUCCUGCUGUUGCUGUGACGAGAAAAGGAGAUAAUACUGAACAAAUGCCAUAUCAAUAUGAGUCCUUUGAAUUAAAUGAAUGUCAAAUGACUUUUAA